rnacentral:rRNA from 1 species
CAAUAGCGUAUAUUAAAGUUGUUGCAGUUAAAAAGCUCGUAGUUGGAUCUCGGGUCCCGGCCUGCGGUUCACCACACGGUGUCUACUGCCCGUCCGGACCUACCUGCCGGUUUUCUCUUGGUUCUCUUCGUUGAGUGCCUCGGGUGGCCGGAACGUUUACUUUGAAAAAAUUAGAGUGUUCAAAGCAGGCGGCUCGCCUGAAUAAUGGUGCAUGGAAUAAUGGAAUAGGACCUCGGUUCUAUUUUGUUGGUUUUCGGAAGUCGAGGUAAUGAUUAAGAGGGACAGACGGGGGCAUUCGUAUUACGGUGUUAGAGGUGAAAUUCUUGGAUCGCCGUAAGACGAACUACUGCGAAAGCAUUUGCCAAGAAUGUUUUCAUUAGUCAAGAACGAAAGUCAGAGGUUCGAAGACGAUCAGAUACCGUCCUAGUUCUGACCAUAAACGAUGCCAACUAGCGAUCCGCCGGAGUUGUUUCACUGACCCGGCGGGCAGCUUACGGGAAACCAAAGUCUUUGGGUUCCGGGGGAAGUAUGGUUGCAAAGCCGAAACUUAAAGGAAUUGACGGAAGG